GGAUCCUUCGGGACCUCGCGCCUGAAGAGAAGCUCGCGGCGGAUUAGCUAGUUGGUAGGGUAAUGGCCUACCAAGGCGACGAUCCGUAGCCGGCCUGAGAGGGCGGUCGGCCACACUGACACUGACACACGGGUCAGACUCCUACGGGAGGCAGCAGUCGGGAAUUUUGGGCAAUGGGCGAAAGCCUGACCCAGCAACGCCGCGUGAAGGAUGAAGUCCCUCGGGGUAUAAACUUCACAAGAAUGGGAAGAAUAAGAUCGGGCUAACACCCCUGUCGAUGACGGUACCAUUUGUAAGCUCCGGCUAACUCCGUGCCAGCAGCCGCGGUAAUACGGGGGGAGCAAGCGUUGUUCGGAUUUACUGGGCGUAAAGGGCGCGUAGGCGGCGCAACAAGUCGGUUGUGAAAUCUCCGGGCUUAACUCGGAGCGGCCAACCGAUACUGUCGUGCUAGAGUGCGGAAGGGGCAACUGGAAUUCUCGGUGUAGCGGUGAAAUGCGUAGAUAUCGAGAGGAACACCUGCGGCGAAGGCGGGUUGCUGGGCCGACACUGACGCUGAGGCGCGAAAGCUAGGGGAGCGAACG
rnacentral:rRNA from 1 species